rnacentral:rRNA from 1 species
AUUGAACGCUGGCGGCAGGCCUAACACAUGCAAGUCGAGCGAGCGGCGGACGGGUGAGUAAUGUCUGGGAAACUGCCUGAUGGAGGGGGAUAACUACUGGAAACGGUGGCUAAUACCGCAUAACAUCAGAUGUGCCCAGAUGGGAUUAGCUAGUAGGUGGGGUAAUGGCUCACCUGGGCGACGAUCCCUAGCUGGUCUGAGAGGAUGAGCAGCAACAGUGGAACUGAGAAACGGACCACACUCCUACGGGAGGCAGCAGUGGGGAAUAUUGCACAAUGGGCGCAAGCCUGAUUCAGCCAGGCCGCGUGUGUGAAGAAGGCCUUCGGGUUGUAAAGCACUUUCAGCGGGGAGGCGUUACCCAAAGAAGAAGCACCGGCUAACUCCGUGCCAGCAGCCGCGGUAAUUC